ACGUGUUUCGCUCUAGUUAGAGCAUCAUCAGGCCUUUAGAAGCCAUCCACACACUUAUGCUGUAACUGAUGAUGCUCUAACUAGAGCGAAACACGUGUAGCCCGUUUAAUUACAUGUUGUGAGACCGUGACUUUGUGUUUUUCUUUGUUUUUCGUCAAUCUAUAGUAAAUACAGAGAGAAAAGGAAAGGUCUUAUUAUAUAUUAUAAUCAGAAAUAAAUUUCAUUGAAAUAUUACUUACUUAUUUCUGGGUAUCAUGCUUCAGAGAACCAUGAUGUGUUACAAUACGCUCCGCUCUUUAAUUUUAGUUUAGUAGAAAAUAUUCUCAAAACCUGCAUAUAUCAAAAUUAUGUCAAGGUUCUAAAAUGAAUCGGUAAUAAAAUCGUAAACCAGAUCAACAUUGGAAAUAAUUUAAAAAAUUUGCUUUGGUCCGAUUGAAAAAAGUACUAUACUAGCAAAUAGUUACAUCUAUUCUGUAGCAAUAAAAGUUAUAAAAUUUUGUCUAUUAUUAAUUUUAAUCUUAUAAAGUGUAUCGUUUAACUCUUAGCCAUUAUUUACAAUUUAAUUGUUAAUUAUGCCUAAAAAAAACGAAUUAACAACUUUGGUAUUGUUUGGAAGGUAAACAGCUUAAUUCCUUUAUGUAAAGCCACCUUAACAUGUUUUUGCAUAAUUCUGACUCACGUUGGUUGCUAUCGGGCUUAAGCCAUAAAAAUCGAAGAAAAAAAGAAGAAGACGAAGAGACUUUCACUUGUCAUUUCAAUGUCACUUUCCGGCCCACAAGCAUAAACGCCACCGGCAACGGAAGUUCCCAAAAUCCAAACAAAUGUUGGAAGAUAUUUUUAAGUCUCCACAUCUUUCUUACUUUCCUAUAUGAAAAUAAAAUUGGACUACACCAACAAAGGUUAUGUGUUUUGCACCAGAUUGAAAGCAUCAUAGCGAAAAACGGACCUGUCAUAUCUUUAAAUUUUCAAAAGAGCCCCUGGAAAAAGAAAAAUGAAUAUCUUUGCCAAGGAAUACUAAGGCAAAUGGAUAAAAAACCUUCAGUCCAUGCAUUGGUAUGUAAUUGUUGACAAAAAUACAAUGAAUGGCCUCACUACUUUUCCACAUGCAAAGAGGUUAACCAAGGAGAAAUUAAAG